AUGGCGGCGCUCGGCGGCAUGCUUGCUGCUGCCAUCCUCAAGGUGGUGGGUGACCAGGUUGGUUCUCUGAUCGGGGGUCAGAUCGCGCUGCAGAUGAAUUUGGACAAGGACCUCAAGAAGAUGAAGAUGGCGCUGGAGUCUGUCGAGGCAGUGCUCAAGGUCGCGGAGAGGCGGUCCAUCACCGACGAGCUGACGGGUCUUUGGCUGAAGCGGCUCAAGGACUUCUUGUAUGAGGUCUCUGACAUGAUUGAUGAGUUCGAAGCAGACACACAAGCCAUCACCCAGCCGUCUGCGCGCAAGUUCUCCUUCAAAAAAUAUUUGGCGUUCAUGAUCCCUUGUCUCACAAUUGGCCCCAACAUUACAAUGGCCAAUAGGAUGAAGAACAUGAGGGACGACCUCAAGGUCAUAACAGAUCAACACAAGGAAUUCAAGUUAACAGACUGCACUAAUGCCAAUGAGCCAAAGGUGACUGAUAUACGGGAAACAUCAUCAACCCUGGAGACACAAAUCAUUGGGAGGACUGAGGAGAGAGAUAUAAUAUUGGCUUCUUUAUCUGAGAGCAUGACAAAGGAUAUCACAAUCCUUCCUAUAUAUGGCAUUGGAGGCCUUGGCAAGACAACCUUGGCAAAAAUGGUUUACAAUAGUUCCCAGUUCAAUGAAUACUCUCAAGUGUGGGUUUACGUGUCUCAGACAUUUGAUUUGAUCAAAAUUGGAAACUCUAUAAUAUCACAACUAUCAGAGAAUGAUAAAGAGAGUGCGUACACUGGAAAGCAGAUGAUCCGUAAUUCCCUUGAAAAGCUCCUUGCCAACAAGAAAAUUCUGAUUGUUUUAGAUGACAUGUGGGAAGACAACAUGUUUCAGUUGGAAGAACUGAAAGAUAUGUUAAAAGUUGGGGAGAGCAGUAAGGUGGUUGUUAUAGCAACCACACGAAGUGAAGGUAUUGCGAAGAAAAUGUCUACCAUCCAACCAUACAAAUUAGCACCAUUGACUGAUGAUAUGUGUUGGUCUAUUAUAAAGCAAAAGAGUGCAUUUGAAUCAAGAGGUGACAAAGAACAAUUGGAGGAAAUAGGGAAGGUCAUUGCAAUGAAGUGUGCGGGUGUGGCUUUAGCAGCUAAAUCACUUGGGCACACGCUGCAAUCUAUGAAAUCUGGUCAAUGGGAAUCAGUGAGAGAUAGUAAUAUUUGGACUGCACCUUCUUUGGAAGAUACAUCUUCUACACAAGUGCUUGCAUCUCUGAAGUUGAGCUAUAGUGUUUUGCCUUCGUAUCUGAAGCUAUGCUUUGCCUAUUGUGCAAUAUUUCCAAAAGGCCACAAGAUACUUAAAGAUGAUCUUAUUCAUCAGUGGGUUUCUCUUGGUUUCUCUUCCUGGGAACUUGGUGAGAGAUACAUUAGUCAGCUUUUGGGCCUUUCUUUUCUUGACCAUUUCAAGUCAUCAUCGACUUUUGAGCUACAUGAUGAAGAUGUUAUAUUGUUGACCAUGCAUGACCUGGUGCAUGAUUUAGCAAGAUCUGUCAUGGAGGAUGAAAUUAUUUUUGUUGGCAAUGUCAAUAAUGCUGAAGGAAGCCGCUUCCACUAUGCAUUGCUAGAUGAUUGUAGCAAGCCAUUGGGAUCAGACUUAUCCAAGAUAAGAGCGUUGCGUUUUAUGGAUUGUGACAAAUAUGAACUUCAUGAUGCUGCAUUUUCAUCUGCCAAGUCUUUGCGUGUCUUGGACUUAAGUGAGUGCGCCAUAUAUACGUUGGCAGAUUGUAUUGUUGAACUGAAGCAAUUGAGAUAUCUUAAUGCUCCAAAAGUCCAAGAUGCAAAGAUUCCAGACAGUAUCACCAAGCUCUCAAAAUUGAUUUACCUGAAUCUUCAUGGAUCUCCUACAAUUAAAGCACUACCAGAGUCAAUUGGAGAAAUUGGCAGUCUAAUGUACCUUGAUUUGUCAAGUUGUUCAGGAAUUGCAAAACUGCCAGAAUCAUUCAGGAGGCUACAAAAAUUGUUGCAUUUGGACUUAUCAAAUUGCUCGUCUGUGGGAGGAAUAUCAGUGUUCUUGGAGAGUCUCACACAGCUAGAGUAUUUGAACUUAUCAUACUGCCCAAAUAUCGGAGAUAUACCAGAAGUUCUGGGCGGCCUUUCCAAACUGCAGUAUUUAAACUUAUCAAACAACUCAUAUCUUGAAUGUGGUAAAGAAGCAGAAUUUUUGGGUGCCCUCACAAAAAUCGAGUAUUUGAACUUAUCUUCAAGGGAAUGUGGACUCAAAAAGCUCCCUGAAUCUUUGGGCGGAUUCAGUCAACUCAAGUACUUAAACUUAUCAGGUUGGCGAGCUAUGAAAAAAUUGCCAAGAUUAUUUGGGAGUCUGAAGAAUCUGCUCCAUCUUGACUUAUCAGGUUGUUAUAUGGUUGAUGGUGUACAUGAAGCUUUGGUCGGUCUUACCAGUCUGCAACAUUUGAAUUUACAAGAUACACAGCUCAGUUCGCUGCCAGAUGAUCCGACCAAGCUUCGGUAUUUAAAUCUAUCUAAACUAAGGAGGUCCUUGGAUGAUCGGAAGAAAGAUGCAUCAGUUUUUCUCUCUGCAGAAACCUGGGACAUUCUCAUCAACCAGAUAUGCAGAAUUAAUCUUUCAGAUCUAGAGCAUUUGGGCUUGUCUCGAAAUUGUCUGAUCGAGAGAAUACCUGAAAGUAUUUGUAGCCUGACAAAACUGCACACAUUGGACCUCUCGGGAUGCAGAAAUUUGAAGAAAAUACCUGAAAGUAUAUGUACAUUUGGUAGCUUGAAGUUUCUUUAUUUAGAGGAUUGUUGCAGUCUUGAUGAAAUACCUCAACUCAGUAGCAGUGCAAUAUCGUUACCACACUUUGUGGUGCGUGCUGGUAAUGAUGGAUCUAGCAGCAAUCUUGUCCUGCUAAAGCCCACAGAUCCUUUUAAGCUGGAGAUAACUGAACUUGAAAAUGUGAUGUCCGCAGGAGAGGCACAUACUAUAAAAUUAAUGGAAAAGCAAAGCAUUCGGGAGUUGAAACUGGAGUGGACUCAAGGUGUUGACAGAUUUGUGGAUGACAAAAUGUUGCUGAAAAAACUAGUGCCUCCAAGCACAUUGAGGGUGUUGGAGAUAUGUGGUUAUAACAGUGUCAUCUUUCCAGGCUGGGUAGUGGGCCAACUACCAAACCUGGACUCACUGGUUCUCAAAGAUAUGGCAAAUCUGGAAGAGUGGGACACGUCAUACUCCACCGGUGAGGAGAAUAUGUUAACAAGCGUGCAAAUAGAUGGCUGCCCCAUGAUGAAGAUGAAAGGGCCUCUGCCUAAAGCUAAAGAAUGGGAGAUAAGAUGCAGUGAUAAUGUGUUAUCAUCAUGGGAUGUGUGCAUUGUGUCACACACCAGUGCUUCCUCCUCUUCUCCAGUAACUACUAUGUUGUCAGUUAGAGACUGCAAGGUGCCUCUGCAUGAGUGGAGGUUGCUUCGACACUUCUCUGGACUCCCUUAUUUGUCUAUUGCCAAUUGUAGCGAUCUAACCGGCUCACCAGAUAUCAUCCAACUACUAUCCUCUUUGGAGAAACUAUGCCUAGAAGACGAACACAUGGAAGAACUGCCAAUAUGGUUGGUUGAGCUCCCAUCUCUAAAGAAUCUGACUAUAUUUAAUAGCAAUGGUAUAAAGGAGUUGAACGAGAACAUGAGGCAACUCACAAAGCUUGAAUCGCUAGAACUGGGCUUCUGCAAAAGCAUAUCUGCAGUGCCACAUUGGCUAGGCGAAUUGACCUUUCUCAAGAAACUUUGGAUACAUAACAAUGAAGGCUUGAGGUCUUUGCCGGCAAGCAUACAACAACUCACCAGCCUCCAGGAAAUAGUACUUAUGCACUGCUAUGCAUUAGAGCACGUGGUUGCUGAAACAGAGGAGGGAAAGAUGAAGCUGGCUGACAACCAACAAAGGGAAUUUGCUCUGCCCACCUCUCUAAAGAGACUUUAUCUGCAUGGAUGUGAUGGUAUCAAGUCUUUUCCCGAGGGAAUACAUCAACUCACUAACCUAACAAUAGAGAGGUGCCCGGGACUAAAGGAAUGGUGUGAAUUAGAGGAGAACAAGAUGAAGCUGGCGCACAUAGAAAAGAAGUGCAUUUUCUUCUAG
rnacentral:rRNA from 1 species